rnacentral:rRNA from 1 species
GAUGAACGCUGGCGGCAGGCCUAACACAUGCAAGUCGAGCGCGAAAGUUCUUCGGAAUGAGUAAAGCGGCGGACGGGUGAGUAAUACAUGGGAAUCUGCCUGGUAGUGGGGGACAACGUUUCGAAAGGAACGCUAAUACCGCAUACGCCCUACGGGGGAAAGGGGGGGAUCUUCGGACCUCUCGCUAUCAGAUGAGCCCA